CACAUCAUUAGAUACUUGAGCGCUUAUUAGCUACUUGAGUCAAGAGUGAUCGUGGAAAAACACAUCCAGCUAAACCUUAGGGAAAUAAUCUAAGCUUUAAACAAAAUGGAAUCAUCUCAUAUAAUAGUUGCAUUUUCAUUUACUAUAUCCUGGACAUCUCCUUAUGUCAGUCCUCUUUUACUUUUAUAAUUUUUUAAAAUUUACAUAAUAAAACAUAGGCCAUGGAUUACAAAGAUCGUUCUCUGGGUUAACUAUUGAGAAAAGAAAGGAAUUUGUAGGUAGCUUAAGUGUGUUUUCAGGAAGACAAACCCAUAAUAUUCUAGUCGUGUAAGAGCAGCCUCUUGAUACGAGUGGCAACAGCCCUAAACCAAGAGUCAGGUGUCCAGCACGCUCAUCCCAGCUCUGCUGUUAACUUACAACAUCACAUCAACCAAAUCACUUAUCUGGGCCCCGGUUUCCACAUCCAGGAAAUGAGAGUGUUAGAGUACACGUUCUCUCAGGUCCCUUCAAGCUGAAAAUUCGGUGGUUCUAUGAAAUCGCUUUUCAAAGAUUCAAUAAAAGAUGUUUAUAUAUAAUCAUAGUCUCUGGUCGUUUCUGACACGACCAGGAAGACUUUAAGAAGGGCUUAAGUAGUCAGCUUACACGCAGAGCAGUCCGCCAAGAAUUUUUUUGUAUUUAAACAAAGAGCUUCCUGCCCUCAAGCAACCUAUAAUUUUAAAAAGAAAAUAAGACAGUUGAAUUAAUAGAAAUACAGGAGUCCCAAGUUUUAUAAAAAGAAUGGACAAAGUGAGAUUGCUGGGGUAGAUCAGUGGAACUCAAAUUUACAUCCCUAGAAACCCCAGGGCUCCCCAGAGGGGCUCCAAAGCUGCUUGCUUCAAGGAUGGGGCAAGAGGCCAAAGAGUGAGCGCUGCCGCCUCCCAUCCCUGGUUUAACUGGAGUAGCUCUGCCUUCCUCUGCCUCCUGCACCUAAGAAAUCUGAGACAGACUUCUAAAGAAAUAGUGCUGCCGCAAUCAAGUCAUGAAAACCACUGGCCUAGAUGAUUUCUAAGGCCAGUUCCGUCUUUAAGGUUCCACAAUCUUAUGAUUCUAAGAUGUACGUAAAAUAAGUUUUGUAUUUUGCAUUCAGUUUUGCAUGUACAUAGGAAAUUAACUCCAUAAAGGUUAAUUCUCUUAUAAAACAAACAAUUAUUUUGUAAUAUGAAUAACAAACCCUAGGUGUAUCUGUUGGACACACUCAGAUUUUCCUGUCCCGAAUUUUCUGAAAAUGAGCCAUGGUUGUAAUUUCAAAAAAGUUGGAUGAGGCAGGCAAAGGGGUCAUAAAAAAGAUUCACAAGAUCCCUGGGACACCGUGGAGAAGCUGUUGGUUUCAUCAGUGAGACAAAAGAUAUGGAACUGGAACUAGAAUUCCUGGGCUCUACCAUUAGGUAAUUUCUGUUUCAGAGAACACAAGUGGGUGGGUGACAUGGUUUUAGGAGUCACGUGUGGGAGUUGCCGCAAUUGCUAAGUGCUUUCAUUUGAUCCUCCCCACUUCAUGAGGCAGGCAUUAUUUUCUUCACCUUUUACAAACAAGAAAACUGGAACCAAGGAUGGUAAGUACCUUGUUCAAGGUCAGAGAGCCAGGGGUUAAACCCAGAGAAUGUGACAGCAAAGCCCAUGUUCUCAGCCACCACAACCUCUAUUCCAUGUUGCUAUUGGUGUCCCGGAGACGCUCAGCCGGCAGCUUGCCCUCCAACCAUCAGAGGAGUUAAAUGGGACUCUGCCUCCAAUUCCUCUAGCUGCCUCUCAUGAUAGAGGCUGAAAAUGCCAGAUUCUUGCUUUCUUAGGUUCCCUUGCAGCUAAAGAUGGCCACAUGACCCAGUUCUGGCCAAUGACAGAUGGGGAAACUGAGAGUCAAGCAGUGUGACUGGUAGAAACCAUAUUAUGCAAAGCGCUCCGGGCGCAGGUAGCACGCUCAACGAGGGGAGGCGCCACCUACAGGAGAGAGGAAGACCUGCAGCCUGGUCUCGAAAAUUCAACCGCUCGGAGGCAGGGACUGACUGGGCACCGCCCCUCCUCCUCGUCGGCCUAGCCCUUGACGUUUAUCGAAUGCUCUUCUCGUGCCAGACAGUGUCCUGAGCGCUUGACAUGUAUUAAUUUUUUUAAAGGUCACAACUCUAUGAGAUGAUGACACCGAGACCUAGAAGGAAAAAAAAUAAUUUGCCAGCAGUCUCAGGGCUAAUUCUUGGCAAAACUAGCACAAUCAUUCAAUUCUCCAGGCCCCAGGCCCAUGAUGACCUCCUGCACUGAGAACUGGCCUCACCUACCACCUGUCAGAGCCUUCCACAAGAACACCCUAAUGACAUGUUGACAAGCUGGUGAAGCAUAGCUCCCUCUCUGUUGCGUCUGCCUGUGGCACCGCCAUUCCUCCCGUGUUCUCCGACAUGGGCAGAUGGAAGCCCUGGCAGGCCCCAGCCACUACUCAGGUGCGGAACUAGAAGAAGCUCUCUAUACCCCUUUCUUCUGGAAACAGAGAAUAAUAAAACUCUUCUGGGUUGA